rnacentral:pre_miRNA from 1 species
CGGGGGAGGCCGGAUCCUGGGCUGUGUCCCGGCGCCCUGUGCUCCCGGGGCCUGCGCUGUUGGAUUCGCUGCUCCCGGGCCACGCAGCCCCCU